GUCCUGGGCGGAGGAGGAGAGCCAUAUGCAAGCCUGUAGUACAGUCCUAUGAGCAAAAACUCAGACAUCUUUGAGCGAUAGAAGAGACAACUGGGCCGGGGGCCAGUUCAGUGCGGACCUACAUUUCAACCACCAUGAUGAAGCCAUUGUGACAAGGCACCAUCAAUCAUCAUGUCCCUUUACCAGGAGGGCCCGUGUCAUAAGCCACUAUAUAAAGGGAAUGAUGGGUGGACUGCUUUGGACAAAUGGACCUGCGGUAGGAGAGAGGGACAACAGUAGGAGCAGGCAGAUCUUGCUGUUUCAACCAAAACCUCAUGCUGACCAGAGUUGAGGAACAGAAGAAGAUGGUGAAGGCCUGCAGGUAUAGGUGUUCAGCAUGUCAUCUGAAAUAUUCCCCACAGAGGCAAAAAGAAAGGAAAUUAUCUCUGAAAAGGAAUGGGAGGACAAGUCAGCAGAAUAUGUCAAUGUUUUGGUUGAAGAAGCUGCUUGAAUCUGGGCUUUUCUGUGCCAUGUGUUCUCCCAGGGCCAGCACAAAGAAGGGCUUUUGGUGCAGGCCCAAGACCACCAUAAUCAUCAUUGAUUAUUCCUCUCCACGCCAGUGUCUCUAAAUAAACUUUCUCUUCUUUCUCUGA
rnacentral:lncRNA from 1 species